UGCUCACACACACACUUCUACAGGCUUUCUCUCUAACACACACACCUACAGGCUUGCUCACACACACAUGCACACAUCCACAGGUUUGCUCACACACAUACAUUUAUUUAAAAAAGGCCUGCUAGGUGGGUAGAGCUGAUUGCCCAUGCUCAUCACAUAUCCAGCACCUAAACCCUUCUUAUUCACUCAAUAGUCACUGAAUUGGGAGGUUGUCAAUCCAUGAGUGUUGGGUGCAAAUGUGUUUUGUAAACCUUCAACAUCAUGAACCUGAAAGAAAGUUGGACUCUUGAUUAGUCUGCGUUGGCUGUCCAUAUACUUGACAUUUGUUUGUUCCUGAGUCUGUGCUUAGAUCAACAUUGUUUCUUUCUGCAAGAAGCAAGAUUUUAAGAUAACUUAUAUAGUAUCUGGAAUGGCACUGUUGUUGGGAACCAAUAACCCUGAUGACUAUGGGUAGAGGCUGGGGUAGGCUCCCCACAGAUACCAAGAUCCCCAGUUCUCAGAUACAUCCACAGGUGGGGUACUGCUCAUAGAUAUUUUUUAGAGUACACACACACACACACACACACACACACACACACACACAAAUCCAAAACCUCAUUUAGCUUGCUGGUCCACUGCUUCUUGGCCUUUUGGCUAGCCUUUAUUAAAUAUUGAAACAUUUAUACAUCCUGAAGAGAAAUCAUAAAAGUCUGUCAACUAGAAAUAGAAACACUAGUGCACAAAGACCCUGAGAUUGUCACAAAGUAAAGACAUGUAGAAGUUAUGGCUUAUCCACCAUGAAAUGCUAUGCAGCUGGGCUAGGUGUCAGCAACUGGGGAGCCCGGUUCUCUAGGGAUCAGUUCUACCUUAGUUAUUUCCUAGAGGCUCGUGGGAGGGGCAACUAGGCUAGUUUAUUCAUCUCUGCUGAGAUAGAUCUUCUAAUAAAUGGAAGCAUGAUUCACGAGGUUAACUAUGACCUGUGUCCCAGUUACUUUUCCUGUUGUUAUGAUAAAAUACCUGACAAAGGCAACUUAAGGAAGGAAGGAAUUACUUUGGCUGACAGUUUGAGGUACAAUCCAUCAUGGUGAGGACAUCAAGGCAGCAGGCACUUGAGGUGGAAGCUAGUCAAAGAGCUGUAUCCAGGCAGAAAGCAGAGAGUGAUGGAUGCCACACUCACCAUACUUUCUUCUUUUUAUCAGUCCAGAGCUCCAGCUCUUGGGAUGUUGCUGCCCAUAGCUGAGACAGAUCUUCCCACUUGGAUUAACCUCAUGUGAGGUGUGUGUCCCAAUGGAACAACAAUGGAGACAAUGGGGAUGUCAAGACAAGAGCACACUAAUCGCUGGCUAUGGAGCAAGAGUCACAAGGAACCUCUAUAUAAGGAUAUUGCUUCCUCUGCUUAAUAAAAUAAUAGCUUGAUGUUA